UACGUAGGGGGCGAGCGUUGUCCGGAAUCAUUGGGCGUAAAGCGCGUGUAGGCGCCACACAGGUCCGCUGUGAAAACUCGAGGCUCAACCUCGAGCUGUCGGUGGAAACCGUGUGGCUAGAGUCCGGAAGAGGAGACUGGAAUUCCCGGUGUAGCGGUGGAAUGCGCAGAUAUCGGGAGGAACACCCGUGGCGAAGGCGGGUCUCUGGGGACGGUACUGACGCUGAGACGCGAAAGCGUGGGGAGCGAACAGG
rnacentral:rRNA from 1 species